rnacentral:rRNA from 1 species
CGAGGGGAGUGAAAAAGAACCUGAAACCGUGUACGUACAAGCAGUGGGAGCACGCUUAGGCGUGUGACUGCGUACCUUUUGUAUAAUGGGUCAGCGACUUAUAUUCUGUAGCAAGGUUAACCGAAUAGGGGAGCCGAAGGGAAACCGAGUCUUAACUGGGCGUUAAGUUGCAGGGUAUAGACCCGAAACCCGGUGAUCUAGCCAUGGGCAGGUUGAAGGUUGGGUAACACUAACUGGAGGACCGAACCGACUAAUGUUGAAAAAUUAGCGGAUGACUUGUGGCUGGGGGUGAAAGGCCAAUCAAACCGGGAGAUAGCUGGUUCUCCCCGAAAGCUAUUUAGGUAGCGCCUCGUGAAUUCAUCUCCGGGGGUAGAGCACUGUUUCGGCAAGGGGGUCAUCCCGACUUACCAACCCGAUGCAAACUGCGAAUACCGGAGAAUGUUAUCACGGGAGACACACGGCGGGUGCUAACGUCCGUCGUGAAGAGGGAAACAACCCAGACCGCCAGCUAAGGUCCCAAAGUCAUGGUUAAGUGGGAAACGAUGUGGGAAGGCCCAGACAGCCAGGAUGUUGGCUUAGAAGCAGCCAUCAUUUAAAGAAAGCGUAAUAGCUCACUGGUCGAGUCGGCCUGCGCGGAAGAUGUAACGGGGCUAAACCAUGCACCGAAGCUGCGGCAGCGACGCUGAUGCGUUGUUGGGUAGGGGAGCGUUCUGUAAGCCUGCGAAGGUGUGCUGUGAGGCAUGCUGGAGGUAUCAGAAGUGCGAAUGCUGACAUAAGUAACGAUAAAGCGGGUGAAAAGCCCGCUCGCCGGAAGACCAAGGGUUCCUGUCCAACGUUAAUCGGGGCAGGGUGAGUCGACCCCUA